GAAGCUGAGGGCAGCGGUAAAGGCUGGGGGGGGUUUGGAGGAUCUAAAAGUUUAGGCGUGGCGGUAAGCGGAGGGGGCUGGGGGGAGGAGGCGGGGUGGGGGUGGCGCCUGCGCUCCGAGGGCGCUUAGGCCGGGUGGCGCUCCGCUACCGCAGCCGCUCCGACUCGGGCUUGCCGCACCCCCGCCGCGACCGCCCCCUGUGCUUGGAGGCCGGGUAGCACGUCCAGCAGUUGGACGCGACGCAGUUGCAGCUGCCGUUCCCGUGCGGGGCCUCGCUGGCCACCGCGCCGGAGCAGAGGCUGCCGCGGCUCUGGACGGGGCGCUACAAGCGGCCGGUCGAGUCGCUGGAGCGCGCGAGGCCGGAGUAGGCGGCGCCGAGGCAGCACGUCGAGCUGCUCAUGCAGUAGUUGUACCAGCCGCCGUCUUCCCAAUAGCAGCAAGACUUAAACUGUCAAGAAGAACGCCUCACACUGUAGUAACCGUUAGGUCACUAAUGAGGUCUUUCACUUAGAAGAUUAGUUUUGUUGGGUUCUCACCUCGUUAAAUUGCCUUGUGCAGUUAUACCAAACCGCCGUCCUUUGGGUUCAGGGUGUUCCGGGUUACCGUUACAAGGUCAGAAGGUUGGAAGCGACCGUCCCUUGAGGAACUUGUGUCGGUGGUCCGAGUCACUGUUUAGAGGUCAGAAGGUCGGUUGUCGUGUCGGUAGAAUAGCAGGACGUGGGUCAAUGUUUUUAGUUCCUCGUUAACGCUUUUUACUUCGGGGACGAUCUUAUUAGGGGUAUAGAAGAAAUUUAGGAAUAGUCCCGGCGACCCGAUAGUUCCCAUCUCAAUGACGUUUCCCUCUGUAGGCGGCCAUGGUGUUACGUUUUCCACUUCCGUUUCACAAGUUGAAACUGGACGAACUAAGACUACCCCCACUCUAUGCCCACCGUACAAAGUUGUGAGUUGAACUAGCGAAGAUACUUCAACACCUUCAACCAUUCCAGAUACACCAUAGUUCUCCUUUGAACUUUGGACAUGUCUCCUUGAUAUUGGUAGACUUGUCGCUCACCCUCUAAUGCAACCUCUCUCUAAGUAGUCACCUAGAAACAGGACUACUCUUGUCGAGUUAAGGAAGAGUCGUCAUAUUGAAGUCUGGCUAGUCACUUUAACUCCUAUGAGGCUGGCCAUGAUAUGAACUAUAGUAUCCACAACGAUAGAGACAGUCGGGAAGGUGGUGUCAUGUCUUCUUUUUACCGUGCCUUUGAGACUUUUCUUAAUAACCGGACUUCCUAUACAGACCAGCUUCACAACUAGAUUGGUACACCCCACUGAAAACGUUGUCUCUUCCGAGUGUCGACGUUCUUUACCAACUUGCACCCCAGAAGGGACACGACCCACAGUUUUGUCCUUCUCACUUACUAAAGUUACCGUUCACACAGCCGUGUUAAAGAAGGAGAGUUGAGGAGUAUCUGGGACUAGAGAGACUUCGAGUAUGAGACUCCGUUACCAAGCUGCCACCUCCUUCCCUACGAAGAUGAGUCAGGUAUAGGUCCCUAGUGUGAGGACGUCGUAGUUCCUUGCUCCAGGCUUGCUGUCAACGAUUUUAGUUCCUACUACCAGAACCUUACCCUCUGUUUGGACUAACCCAAUGCCACUUUCGGAGGUAAUAUAAGAAGUUCUCGCUGUUGAAGACGAUGUGUCGAACGGGAUGGUUCCUUCCACUGGCCGUCACGUUAUUCUUUCACUGUUUCCCCUGGAGACCGAACACCCACACACUGUUUACGCUGUUCCUCAAAGGUCUCACACUGAUGUCCAUAGAAGACGUCGAAGUCUAAGUUCUAGUGAGCCCUUGUUGAACCCACUGUCGCAAAGUCCUCUGGCGCGUUCUCAAUGAUCCGACGAGCCGCGAUCUUGAGUAAUGUAUGUUUCUCUUGCCUCUGGGAGCAAAACGUCUCUGGUACGAGUCGACAAACAAGUUCCUAAUAGACGAGUCCGACUUUCAGUUUCUUCUUUGCAUGUCGCUGCUCGCCUCUCACUUCUUGUGUAACCAGUUUCACCUCUCCAAACUAGGACGACGGCUUUCAUCUAUAGACGAGCUAAAUGAAAGUUCCAGCCACCGUAGUAUAACUCGUCGCUCAAAGCGGGCUUCUCCACACCGCCACAGGUAUUGUACAAGAGAAAACGAGCGUUCCGGGUUCCAAAUGAAUGGUAUAAUCUCUAAGUCCUAAAUAAGUCAAGUAUGCCUACAAAAACUACACUAUCAUUGUCAUUCGUACGGUUACAGAGCCGGAUACAUCUGAAAGACAGGAACAAAUUAAAAUUGCCUAGUUAAGUCUAGAUCGAUGAUUUAGUACAACUACAGACACAAUACCGUAGGGACGAAAAAAAUUGAAUGGUUACGUCAACCACCCGUGUGACUCGCUGC
rnacentral:rRNA from 1 species